GCUCGGGUGGCGAAAUUGGCAGACGCGCCAGACUUAGGAUCUGGUUCCGCAAGGAGUGUGGGUUCGAGUCCCUCCCCGAGCA
rnacentral:tRNA from 1 species